CAGGCAGUCGUCACGAACCUGAACGACGUGUUCAUUUUCGUCUUGAAAAUCUGUCAAGAUAUCCAGAAGAGUCCUUUGACGAUAGAGCAAGUGUAGUUUCAGAAUGUUAUCCACGUAGGGAACCAGUCGAUGGCCAAUUUUCAGAUGAAUUUUCAUUUGGUUCCUCUUCAUCAUUAUCUGAUAAUUAUGUAGUCAUAAAAAACAUUGACGAUCCUCAAAUAUCAUUUUGCAUUGGUAAUAUUGAAAUUGAAGGCGACGGAGAGUUAAGCAAAAUACCGGAAUCACUUGUUUAUGCUACAGACCGAAAUCAUGUUGACGCUUAUUCCUUCAAUAGUAUUUAUAUACG